rnacentral:lncRNA from 1 species
GCCGACGUCCAGUCCGCCGUCGAUAACGCCGUCCGCAGGCUGUCCCGUGCGCGGUCGGAGCUGGAGGCCGCGUGCUCGGACGUGGACGCCUUCCUCGCCGUGCCGGCUCCCGCCCACUCCCAGGGAGCCGCCGGGGCGUGCGCCGCCGCGGCUCGCCACGCCCGUAGCGGCGUUGCCAACUUGGACGCCCUCGUCGACAUCCUGCGCGUGCUUGAGGACGAGCUCGAGGACGAACCCCCGACCGCCCGCGUCAUGCACUUCUUCGGCUACGUCCUGCCGCCACCGCCCAUCGACGCCGGAGCCGGAGCCGGAGCAGGUUAAUUAAUUAAUCAAUUCGCUUAUCCCCUCGACCAAGACCAAUUGGUGCUUGAAUCAUUAUAUUUUGUGUCCAUUUUUGUUUGUUUUGCCUUGCUCACAUGCCGAACCAAAGAUCGAUCGGUGUUUGAACCAUACUAUUUUGUGUUGCUCAUGCUUGAGUCGAUUUCCAGCAGGAGGCGCAGAAGCAGCCGGAGAUGACGCCGACGCCGACGCCGGCAGACAUUGAUCCAUCCAUCGCCUUCCCAAUGCUUGGCCUUUCUCCUGCACCAUGCUCCAUGCAUAUCGAUCGAUUCGAUUGAUCCCCCCAUAUCUACAGAUUGAACUCAAGUCUUGGUGAGGUAGAUAAUAAUUAAUUGCUGCUAUGUGAGAGAGAACUUAAUCAGAUCGAUCGUAACCUGAUAUGAUUUGAUCUGUUCAACUGUUGUGUUUGAUCGUCAUCUUCAGUUGGAUAAAAUUUUAUGUGACAAGAACCCACACAUGCAUUGC